rnacentral:rRNA from 1 species
GACGAACGCUGGCGGCGUGCCUAACACAUGCAAGUCAACUUGACUGAAGGAGCAAUCUGACAGUAGAGUGGCGCAAGGGUGCGUAACGCGUAAGUAACUUGCCCCAAGGUAAGGAAUAACGUCGAGAAAUCGGCGCUAAUACCUCAUAAUGCAGCGGAUCCGCAUGGAUAUGUUGUUAAAGGUUUACCGCCUUGGGAUAGGCUUGCGUCUGAUUAGCUAGUUGGUGUGGUAACGGCACACCAAGGCUACGAUCAGUAACUGGUCUGAGAGGAUGAUCAGUCACACUGGAACUGAGACACGGUCCAGACUCCUACGGGAGGCAGCAGUGAGGAAUAUUGGGCAAUGCUCGAAAGAGUGACCCAGCAACGCCGCGUGGAGGAUGAAGGUAUUCUAUAUCGUAAACUCCUGUGAGAGCAGACGAAAGACAGAUUAUUAAUCUGGAUGACUGUAUGCUCAGAGGAAGCCCCGGCU